CAAUAGCGUAUAUUAAAGUUGUUGCAGUUAAAAAGCUCGUAGUUGGAUUUCGGGACGGGCCAGUUGGUCCGCCGCAAGGUGUGUUACUGACUGGUCUGUUCUUCUUCGCAAAGACUGCGUGUGCUCGUCGUUGAGUGUGCGUAGGAUUUACGACGUUUACUUUGAAAAAAUUAGAGUGUUCAAAGCAGGCUAUCGCUUGAAUACAUGAGCAUGGAAUAAUGGAAUAGGACUUUGGUCCUAUUUUGUUGGUUUCUAGGACCGAAGUAAUGAUUAAGAGGGACAAUUGGGGGCAUCCGUAUUUCGUUGUCAGAGGUGAAAUUCUUGGAUUUACGAAAGACGAACAACUGCGAAAGCACUUGCCAAGAGUGUUUUCAUUAA
rnacentral:rRNA from 1 species